CCUCACGCCCUCAAUAAAGGUAAAUUGGAGUAGUAGGUACAUAUAGUAUUCAUGGCACAUCACCACCACACCUUACAUACAGAGCUUCAGCUCUUUUGAGUUUUCUCUUGUGUUUCAACAUUCAUCUUACAAUAAUUACUGAUGAUCUAUAUAACUAUAUUGGUCGACCCAUAAGUUAGAGAAAACAUGGGUGUUAUCCAUGCAUGCGAAAGAGCAUGCACAUAAGUUAGGUGUCCGUUAAAACCUCCACAAAGCCUACGAAUUAUUAUAUAUGCACUAUUUUCAUUUCAUUUGUGAUUUGUUCUCACGUCCAACUCCUUUUUUUUUGCUACGCUGCUCUCUUCAUCGGUCGCUAGAGUUAGAUGACAAAAGUAUAUAUUGAGGCAUACAUUGCGAGUAUCGAAUUAUCGAUAUGCCUUCCCUACUUGGAAUGCAUGGUAUUGGGAAAUCAGACAUGACAAUCAUUGCUCUUAGUUCUAUUGUUCUUUGCCAGUCAUCCUGUUUUGUGCAGGCAAGUGAUCAGUGAAUUCUGGCAGGCAGAAACUAGAUGUUGGUUACACGACCUAGUUUACGAUAUCUUCAAAACCCAGUUGCGUGAUCAUGAGGUGUGCUAUUACUAUUAUAUCGACUCGAUUUGUAUAGAUUACACCUCACAAUGUGCAUAUGUACGAGUUUAUACUAUACUAUUCAAAACAAGGUAGAAAUGGACGUUUUUUUGGGAUACUAUUUUCAUUCCGUCGUUAAAAGUGGCAUCAAAUCUGCGAUUAUAAUGUAACACCAAAUCUGUAAUGUGCUACAUAUGGCAAGAAGGGGGCAUAAUUGCAUCUUGAGCAUUGGUUUCAUUUUUGGAUGAGCCUACGGAAAAAAAUGCCAGUCAUGUGAAAAUAGUUGUAAUCAUGGUUGAUCUGGAGAAGAUGACCUUGUAACACUGGAGAUGCCACACACAGUGGCUUCACCACCGAUGGCUGAGUACACAACCCUUGCUCAUGCGGACACAAGCACAUUUUCCCCACAAAAUUUGCGCUAUGCAACAGCGGCAUAUUGACAAUAUUACGUAUUACAAUCAACACCUUUGAUGUUUUUUUUUUGCAGGGAUCACCGGUACCCUUGAUGUCAACAAUAAAGGUUGGUAGGUAUCACGUGGUACUAUACUAAUUCACUGCAGAUCUCCACCACGCUUAUUUAUAUAUAGAGAGAGAAGAGAGGUGUGUGUAGCUCCUUUUAGUGUGCCCAUUCCCAUCAUGCAUCUCACAAUAGUCUUCAAUCCGACAAUAAAAGGCUAGUGGUCUUUGGUUUCAUCCAACUUCUUUCCCCACUGUUUAAACUCUUCAUCGGUAGAGCUAUAGGUGUUAGAAGUCUUGAGGCAUGAGUGGCAUUGGGACAUCAGACGUGAAUAGAUGUAUUUUGUAAUCCAGACCUUGCUGCAUACCUAGUCAGAUUUGCGAUCGAUUUUGCGCUGGUAGUAGCGCUCUUAUCAGAACCACCGAUAAUGUAUCAUGUGACCCUGAGCUGCAUGUCUCUUCAUGGUUCCAGGGGUGUACGAAGGGGGAGCAGAAAUGGACGUAAGCAAUAAAGAGGUCUUUACUGUUCAAAAAAGAGUAGGAAUGGACGUUCUUUCCGGAUAUUAUCUUUCCACAGUUAAAGGUGGUGUCAAAUCUGCAGUUGUAGUGUGUUGUGGCAUAUGGCGAGCAGAAGAACGAAGCUCACUUGCAUUCACAGGCGCACGGCAGCCACAAGCCCCCCUGCGCCCCCACAAAAUCUGAUCACGAGGCCAUGCCGGAUUCCCCUUUGCCAAUCGCCUGCGCCCACCUCACUUCCCCCUUAUCCCCGCCUCACCCAUCUCUUAUCCCCUCCCUCCUCUUACAAACCCACAAACUAAUUGGCCGCGCACGCGCCUCCCCUGAUCAGCCAGGAAGGAAUCCAACUCCCACCACACGCCCCCACGACGCGCGCGCCAGCAGCAAUGGCCGCCCUCGCCGCCUCCAUCGCCACGUCCACCGCCUUCGCCUCCAAGCCGCGCCUCUCCUCCCCCACCCCGCGCGCGCGGCUCUCCGUCUCCUGCUCCGCCACCGGCGACAACAACAACAACAACCCCUCUCUGGCCACCGCCGCCAAGACCUUCUCCGCGGCACUCGCCCUAUCCUCCGUGCUCCUCUCCUCGGCGGCCACCUUCUCCCCACCCCCGGCCGCCGCCGACAUCGCCGGCCUGACCCCGUGCAAGGACUCCAAGGCCUUCGCCAAGCGCGAGAAGCAGUCGGUCAA
rnacentral:lncRNA from 1 species